GAGUUUGAUCCUGGCUCAGAACGAACGCUGGCGGCAUGCCUAACACAUGCAAGUCGAACGAGACCUUCGGGUCUAGUGGCGCACGGGUGCGUAACGCGUGGGAAUCUGCCCUUGGGUUCGGAAUAACAGUUAGAAAUGACUGCUAAUACCGAAUGAUGUCUUCGGACCAAAGAUUUAUCGCCCAAGGAUGAGCCCGCGUCGGAUUAGCUAGUUGGUGAGGUAAAGGCUCACCAAAGGCGACGAU
rnacentral:rRNA from 1 species